rnacentral:tRNA from 1 species
GCUCGUUAGUCUAGAGGUUAGGACGCAAGAUUUUCUUUCUUGAAGCAGAGGUUCAAUUCCUUUACGAGCCA